rnacentral:lncRNA from 1 species
GACCAAAUAUGAGUGAAAAUCUAUAGCCAAGUCCAGCAAAUACAUAUGUAUGCAUGAGAGGCCAUGCAAUUGGGAGAGGGUGACGGAGAGCAUGAUAGCAGGCGUUUAAAGCUAAACAUAAGUGGAAGAGAGUGGCGGGCAGAGCAUUCAGCAGGCAUCAUAAAGGUUCAUGGUCAUGUCGAGCAAUGUCCUCCGGGCCUUUCCAGAGACAAGCAGAUCAUAAAUCAAAGAGGGUGGGUAUGCUAUGGCCACGCUCAACGUGGCAGCCUUUCAAGGCGGGAGAGUAAGUUUAGACGAGUCAGAACUUUCACACAGGUCAGAACUCGACAAGAGAGCUCGGAAGAGGCCUUGGUAUCUACCAGUAGAUGGAGGCCAGAAUUUCCGGCCUCCCUUUUGUUCUCCUUCGAGCUGGUUUUCUUCUUGUUCUUUCACUAUGCUGGCAUAGCACCAUGGUACCGGCCCCUUUCUUACUGCAGAUGAGCACGAGUUUCUGAGAUGCACUUCCAUUUCAUUUCAUCAUUUCUCUUCGAAGCAGGUUGAAUGCGUCGUAGAUUUGAUUUCGUAACUACGUAAGAUUCCUGUAUGAGCGAAGCAGUUCAUUCAGGAACAAAACAACUCAUAAAUGUCAGUUCUCACUUUUCAACUGGAAGCCCACAAGAAAAACAAAGCCUAGAAUAGCAGGAAAAGAAAAAGGUUGGUAAAACCCCAUGACUGUGAUGGCGGCGAGAUCAUCAUAAACCCCAGCUGCAGCCAUAUCGCCCGAUAAAGAUCGCUCAACAUAUUACCUUAACGUUCGUUUAAAAAAUAUACUAAACGCACAUCGAUCCGGAGGGAGAGAGAGAAGUGAGAGAGAGCCGCAUCAAAGUUCGUGCGUCCGUUCGGGAAUUUUCUCGAGUGGGUGGAGGGUGUGGAUGAUGGCGGAAACCAGGGUGGAGGAGGUGGCGUCCCCGAAGGCUAGGAGGACCGAGGGCUCGACGCACCACCAUGCGCGGGAUGCGGCGAAGGGGCCGUCCUGGGCGGCGGGGGCCAAGGGCCGGCCAAGGCAAUCGGAAUGGACGGUUCACCCGAUUACCGACCGAAAGCUGUUCGAAUUGCAGAGCCGUUUUGCGGAGGUCUUGGAGGUACCUGCGGACAGGGUGGAGAAGACCCGAAGAGCUUGGCAGAGCACGACGGUGUUCAUGCGGAGUGUCGGGAGGACGGUACCGGCCGAGUGGGUAGCCAGAGAGGUGCGACGGGCGGGGAGGCUAAACUAUAAUGUGGAAUGCUUUACUCUGUCGGAUGGGGUGUUUGCUGUCCGUUUUGCCUGCGAGAAGGAUCGGGAGGCAACGCUGAUGCAGGGACCGUGGUUGAUCGCUGGCCAGCCAUUCGCGAUGGAACGCUGGAAGCCCGACUUCGUGACUGGUUUCGGCGAGAUCUCCCGUGUGGUGGUGUGGAUGUGCCUCCCGCGGCUGCCUUUGGACUUUUGGGAGAAGAAAACUAUCCUCCAAAUUGCAGCGACGACUGGGAAACCUUUAGCCUUGGACGAGUUCACCGAUCAAGGGAAGAAGCUUGGCUUCGCCAGGGUCAAGAUUGAACUGGACAUCAACGCCCCCCUCGAGACAGGCAUCUUUGUUAGGAGUGCCACAGCAGAAGGGAAGCAAAGGUCUGGCAGGGUUUUAUUUAUGAAAACCUGCCAGCAUUCUGUUUCAAGCGUGGAAGAAUCGGUCAUGGCGAGGCGGCGUGCUCAUUCUCCACUCCGGUGAGGGCCGAGACGGAGUCAGGGGAGGCGUCUGGUGGUGGGACGCAUGCGGCAGGGUUGACCCCUUCGGAGGAGCCUGGGCGGUCCGGGGAGGUCAGGCUGGACAAUGGUGAACAGCUGCUAUAUGGCCCCUGGCUGGCCACGAGGC